CCUACGGGCGGCAGCAGUGGGGAAUAUUGCACAAUGGGGGAAACCCUGAUGCAGCGACGCCGCGUGAGUGAAGAAGUAUUUCGGUAUGUAAAGCUCUAUCAGCAGGGAAGAAAAUGACGGUACCUGAUUAAGAAGCCCCGGCUAACUACGGGCCAGCAGCCGCGGUAAUACGUAGGGGGCAAGCGUUAUCCGGAUUUACUGGGUGUAAAGGGAGCGUAGACGGCAGGACAAGUCUGGAGGGAAAUGGCCGGGCUUAACCCCGGAACUGCUUUGGAAACUGUGCAGCUAGAGUGAAGGAGAGGUAAGUGGAAUUCGUAGUGUAGCGGUGAAAUGCGUAGAUAUUAGGAGGAACACCAGUGGCGAAGGCGGCUUACUGGACUGUAACUGACGUUGAGGCUCGAAAGCGUGGGGAGCAAACAGGAUUAGAUACCCUGGUAGUC
rnacentral:rRNA from 1 species